rnacentral:rRNA from 1 species
GUCCACGCCCUAAACUAUGUCAACUAGUUGUUGGGGAGUUAAAUCCCUUAGUAACGCAGCUAACGCGUGAAGUUGACCGCCUGGGGAGUACGGUCGCAAGAUUAAAACUCAAAGGAAUUGACGGGGGCCCGCACAAGCGGUGGAUGAUGUGGUUUAAUUCGAUGCAACGCGAAAAACCUUACCUACCCUUGACAUGUACGGAAUUCUCCAGAGAUGGAGAAGUGCCCGAAAGGGAACCGUAACACAGGUGCUGCAUGGCUGUCGU